rnacentral:rRNA from 1 species
GACGAACGCUGGCGGCGUGCUUAACACAUGCAAGUCGUACGGUAAGGCCCUUUCGGGGGUCCCCGAGUGGCGAACGGGUGAGUAACACGUGCGUAACCUCCCCACAACUUUGGGAUAACGCUAGGAAACUGGUGCUAAUACUGGAUAUGUGCUCCUUCUGCAUGGUGGGGGUUGGAAAGCUCCGGCGGUUGUGGAUGGACUCGCGGCCUAUCAGCUUGUUGGUGGGGUAGUGGCCUACCAAGGCGGCGGCGGGUAGCCGGCCUGAGAGGGUGACCGGCCGCAGUGGGACUGGGAGACGGCCAAGACUCCGACUGGAGGGAGCAGUGGGGAAUAUUGCAAAAGGGGCGCAAGCCUGAGGCAGCAACGCCGCGGGCGGGAGGACGGUCUUCGGGUUGUAAACCGAAUUCAGCAGGGACGAAGCUGUUUGUGACGGUACCGGCAGAAGAAGCACCGGCUAACUACGUG